AGGUCAUUUCAAGGAGGGCUGAUGGGACCAAAUCCAGGAGCUCUUAACGCUGUGACCAAAGAUUGAAUUCUCCAUAGGAUGUAAUAGUCACUUGAUAGUGCUAUGUUUUCCUGAUGGAGAUACAGAA
rnacentral:snoRNA from 9 species